AGUUUGAUCAUGGCUCAGAUUGAACGCUGGCGGAAUGCUUUACACAUGCAAGUCGAACGGUAGAGGGGGCAACCCCUUGAGAGUGGCGAACGGGUGAGUAAUAUAUCGGAACGUGCCCAGUCGUGGGGGAUAACGUAGCGAAAGUUACGCUAAUACCGCAUACGAUCUAAGGAUGAAAGCGGGGGAUCGCAAGACCUCGCGCGACUGGAGCGGCCGAUAUCAGAUUAGGUAGUUGGUGGGGUAAAGGCUCACCAAGCCAACGAUCUGUAGCUGGUCUGAGAGGACGACCAGCCACACUGGAACUGAGACACGGUCCAGACUCCUACGGGAGGCAGCAGUGGGGAAUUUUGGACAAUGGACGCAAGUCUGAUCCAGCCAUUCCGCGUGCAGGAUGAAGGCCCUCGGGUUGUAAACUGCUUUUGUACGGAACGAAAAGGUCUCUCCUAAUACGAGAGGCUCAUGACGGUACCGUAAGAAUAAGCACCGGCUAACUACGUGCCAGCAGCCGCGGUAAUACGUACGGUGCAAGCGUUAAUCGGAAUUACUGGGCGUAAAGCGUGCGCAGGCGGUUAUAUAAGACAGAUGUGAAAUCCCCGGGCUCAACCUGGGAACUGCAUUUGUGACUGUAUAGCUAGAGUACGGUAGAGGGGGAUGGAAUUCCGCGUGUAGCAGUGAAAUGCGUAGAUAUGCGGAGGAACACCGAUGGCGAAGGCAAUCCCCUGGACCUGUACUGACGCUCAUGCACGAAAGCGUGGGGAGCAAACAGGAUUAGAUACCCUGGUAGUCCACGCCCUAAACGAUGUCAACUGGUUGUUGGUUCUUAACUGACUCAGUAACGAAGCUAACGCGUGAAGUUGACCGCCUGGGGAGUACGGCCGCAAGGUUGAAACUCNAAGGAAAUGACGGGGACCCGCAUCAAGCGUGGAUGAUGUG
rnacentral:rRNA from 1 species